rnacentral:piRNA from 1 species
UAGCUCCGGGUAUUCAGCCAAGAUAGC